UGCCAAUGCAUCAAGGUAAGACCCUGUA
rnacentral:piRNA from 1 species